AUAGGAAAACCUUCUUGGUUUAUUAGCCUAAUCAGUUAUACCAUAACUUAGGGAUACUCCAUAAACAAUUUCUCAAAAAAAAAUACUGUCAAUUCUAGAGUUUGUUUUGGUGAUUUUAUUUUAGACUAGCUGAUCCCGCGAACUUCGCAUCUUUUAAACCUUCCCUGGACCUCUAGAAACAUUUUAAAACCAAAAAAAGCCAAAUCGGGCCAACCCUUCUCGAGUUUUAGUGAGACUAACGAACAGCAAUUCAUUUUUAUAUAUAAGAUUUUUUAAACAAAAUUUUUCAAAUAUGUAAGUCUGGAACUAUUGGAAAUAUUAACAACGACACAGGCCUCUUCUCAUGCAGAGAAGGGUCAGUGGGUCGUUUUAGGAGGAAUGAGCGUUCGUUAGCGGAAUCACCACGCUUGCUCCAGGUGGAAUAGCGACUUCGGACAUUAAAGCCCAGUGGCUAUGACGACGCCGCCGAUAGACCUGGACAAGCCCCGGUGGGAUCAGAGCGCCUACUGGGGGCGGGUCAAACACUUCAUAUUGCUCACUAAUCCGUUAAACGUGUUCACUAGUGAAGCCAAACUUGAUGAGGCCAAGAGGGUCGUAGAUGAGUACAGGGAAACAAAAAAGAUGCCCUUCGGUUACACUGAAGACAAACUAUGGGCGAUGAAGUAUUUAUACGACAGCGCGUACCACCCCGACACUGGGGAGAAGAUGGUCAGGAUCGGCCGCAUGUCUGCGCAGGCGCCUAUGAGCACACUCAUCGGUGGAUGUAUGUUAUCUUUUUACAAAACGACGCCUGCAAUACUUUUCUGGCAAUGGGUGAAUCAGUCGUUUAACGCUAUUGUUAAUUACACGAAUCGUUCUGGCGACGCAAAACUUAGUACUAAACAGAUAAUUACGUCAUAUGUCGCGGCCUGCGGGGGUGCUCUGACCACUGCUCUAUACCUCAACAGUAAAGUUAAGGGCAUGAACCCACUGUACGCGCGGCUGGUACCGUUCGCGGCUGUCUGCGGCGCUAACUUCAUCAAUAUACCCAUGAUGAGGAGCAAUGAAAUCCUGCACGGCACGCCAGUAUACACGGCGGAUGGACAGCGCGUUGGCGACUCCAAGAUCGCGGCCAUGACAGGCAUUCUGCUCGUCUGUGUCUCAAGAGUCAGCAUGGUGGUACCUAGCAUGACGCUCGUGCCUCUAAUAACGAACACGGCAGUUCAAAGAGGUUGGUUCAGUAGCACGUCUCUAGCUGUGUUGCCAUUCCAAAUGUUACUGGUUUGUCUCACCAUUACAUUCGCAACGCCUAUGUGCUGUGCCUUCUUUGAUCAGAAAGCCUCCAUCAACAUCAAUAAGAUAGAGAACGAUAUAAGGGAAACGGCGCUAAAGAAAUUUCCUAAGACGAAUGUAUUGUAUUACAACAAGGGCCUGUGAGCAGAGACAGCGCAGCUACUUCCAUGAACUGGAUUAUUGCACGGAACGCCCGUAUUUGCUCCGGAGGGGCAAAGAGUGGGGGAUUCCAAGAAAGCAGCUCGCAAGGGAAUCUUUCUUGUGUGCAUAUCCAGGGUGGCCAUGGCUCUUCCCGGCUUUACUUUCGUGCCAUUCAUCACGAAUAUUGCGGAAAAUAGAAACCUGUUUUGCCGGUACCCAAUGGCCGAUUUGCCAUUCCAAAUGGCGCUAGUGUGUCUCUGUUUCACGUUCGCUACACCACUGUGCUGCGCCUUGUUCGAUC
rnacentral:misc_RNA from 1 species